rnacentral:rRNA from 1 species
AUUGAACGCUGGCGGCAGGCCUAACACAUGCAAGUCGAGCGGAUGAAGGGAGCUUGCUCCUGGAUUCAGCGGCGGACGGGUGAGUAAUGCCUAGGAAUCUGCCUGGUAGUGGGGGAUAACGUCCGGAAACGGGCGCUAAUACCGCAUACGUCCUGAGGGAGAAAGUGGGGGAUCUUCGGACCUCACGCUAUCAGAUGAGCCUAGGUCGGAUUAGCUAGUUGGUGGGGUAAAGGCCUACCAAGGCGACGAUCCGUAACUGGUCUGAGAGGAUGAUCAGUCACACGGGAACUGAGACACGGUCCAGACUCCUGCGAGAGGCAGGAGUGGGGAAUAUUGGACAAUGGGCGAAAGCCUGAUACAGCCAUGCCGCGUGUGUGAAGAAGGUCUUCGGAGUGUAAAGCACUUUAAGUUGGGAGGAGGGGCAGUAAGUUAAUACCUUGCUGUUUUGACGUUACCAACAGAAUAAGCACCGGCUAACUGCG